UACAUAUGUACAUUAGGGUGAUUCAAAAAUAAUUUUUUUUUUUUUCAAUUGGUACUCGCAAAAAUAGGUUCCUAGACACCUCUAAGAAAGCCUCUCCAAAUAUGAGUUUUUAAUUGUAACGGUAAGGUCCUCCGCCUAACAGUUUUCUAUUUUUUCUUAUUAUCAGAUAGAAAAAUUUAUAUCUCGCUUCCAACUACUUGAAAAAAUAUCUUGUUAAUUAGGUUUUGUAGAAAAUUGAAUGCUCUAAAAUAUGGUCUCUUAUGAUUUUUUCGUAAACCCAACCGUUUAAAAGACAUUAACGGUUGAAAUUUGACUAUUUUUGGAAAAAUUCUUUAUUUCUUAUUAAUUUUAUAACUCAAUGAAAAAAAAUUAUGAU